rnacentral:lncRNA from 1 species
CGUGGUGGUCGGGCGGAAUGGCGCCAGUGGCGCCGGGGAGUUAAGGUGUUGGGGCCGGUUGCGGGUGCCAGGAAGAAGAAAGAGAAGGAGAGAGAAGAAGGAAGGAGGAAGAAAGAAGAAGAAAGAGGAAGAAAGAAGAAGGAAAAAGAAAAGGAAAAAGGGGGAGGGAAAAGAGAAAGAAAAAGAGGGGGACCGGCGGCGAUUUCGGCACGCGGUCGGAGCACGCGCGCGGCAUCUGACAACGGCACGCGGCGAGAUUUACGGGCACGGAUAGAAAGGUAGGGGUCGGCAUGGGUACCGGGACGGCGAAAUCGCCGGGGAGAUUUCCGAUUUCCGGGAGCUCGGCGGUAAAAAGAUUUUAAAGACGGUUUUUAACGGGUGAUUUUAGUUGGUGAUUUCUGCGGAUGUUACAGGGCGAGACGGAAAGGAUAGGGAGAUUAUGUAGCUUACCUCCAGGUCUACCGGUGAAGCCUUGGGGCCGAACAGGAGUAGGCUGGGGCGGGAAGUCGUACGCGCUAACGCUUGGGCAGCG